ensembl:piRNA 21ur-4999 ncRNA
AUGGGGAUCAAGAGCACGAUC